UGGUUUAAUGACUUGAGAUCCAAUCUUGCAAGUUUUUUACACACAUGUAUGUCUUUGAGCAUUUGAGUGGUCCUGUUGUCUUCAUUUAAUGUCUAUUAUUGUGAGGGUUUAAAACUGUCUCCAUGGAUUUAGUCCUGGUGGGAGGGGUCGGGUCUAUGCUGUAAUUAAGUCACCAUGGACAAGAAUUUUACGCACUGGAGCUUAAAGUUGAUUUUCUCAGUCCAUAUUCAGACAGCUAAAUACGAGGCCUGAUGAUCAGCCGUGCUGGCCACUCAACCCCAAAUUUGGAGGCUCAGCAUUUUUGAAAUUCAGGCCACUUAGUGAGAGACCUCACUAUGGAUAUAGGAGCAUAGCUUUAGGUUUCUCUUUUUGAAAAUCUUGGCUCAAGCAUCACCUCAGAAUGGCAGAGUCUAGAACAUUUGUCUUCAGGGGAAGGGACAAGAACGAACUGGGAUGUGAAAUUGUCUAGAGCCCCUGAAACUGCCCCAAUUACCCUUCUCACCCUGCCAGACUUCAGAAUAAUGCCUAUGUUUCACUCCAGAUCAUCCCAUCCCCUUGAGAGACGGGGAAGAGAAAUGGCUGCAGCGGAGCUGGUGACCUUCAAGGAGGUGGCUGUGUAUUUCACUGAGGAGGAAUGGGCUCUGCUGGACCCAGGUCAGAGAUCCCUCUACAGGGACGUCAUGUGGGAGAAUUAGGAGACUGUGACCUCACUGGAUGGAAGCUCCCUUUGUACCAAAGUGCAAAGACCCUGGCGACACGAGUAACUUUGACAACUAUGAGGAGGAGGAGAUCCGGGUCUCAACCACUGAGGAGUACGCCAUGGAGUUUUCUGAGUUCUAGGACCAGCGGCCCCCCCAAGAAGGGUGCAUGCGGAGCGGGGGGGGGGAGUUGGAUUUUGGUUUCAUAGAUAAAUUAAAUCUAUAUAGCCCUGUGGCUAGGUCUCCCCCCCAAAUCCCCCCUUUCCACAAAGAAGCUUGAGAGUCCCAUCUAGAGGGUGAGGAUAUCAUCCACCCCGCCCUGGGAAACACGUCUGUGUCCUCCAACAACACUUGUUUCACUGGAAAAAAACAAAAGAACCCCCCACCCCCACUUCCUACUUAACAGUGUGCUUUGUUGUUAACAUGUUUGAAACAAUUACCAAUAAAGUUUAAAAAAAAAAUCA